AACGGGUGCGUAACACAUUGGUAACCUACCUCAAAGUUCGGAAUAACCCCGCGAAAGUGGAGCUAAUUCCGGAUGUGCUGGACUAACAACAGUUAGUUUAGUAAAGGAUUUAUUCCCUUUGAGAGGGGCCUAUGGUCUAUCAGCUUGUUGGUAAGGUAAUGGCUUACCAAGGCUAUGACGGAUAGCGGGUGUGAGAGCAUGACCCGCCUCACUGGGACUGAGAUACUGCCCAGACUCCUACGGGAGGCUGCAGUCAAGAAUAUUCCCCAAUGGACGAAAGUCUGAGGGAGCGACGCCGCGUGCAGGAAGAAACCCUUCGGGGCGUAAACUGCUUUUCUUAGGGAAGAACUUUGGUGACGGUACCUAAGGAAUAAGGGGCUGCUAACUUCGUGCCAGCAGCAGCGGUAAUACGAAGGCCCCAAGCGUUGUCCGGAUUUAUUGGGCGUAAAGAGUUCAACGGUGGUUGAGAAAGUCAGUGGUCAGAUCUCAGGGCUUAACCCUGAGGCCGCCACUGAAACUUUUCCACUUGAGGACAGGAGAGGCAGACGGAACUACCGGUGUAGUAGUAAAAUGCGUUAAUAUCGGUAGGAACACCAAAUGCGAAGGCAGUCUGCUAGAAUGUAUCUGACACUUAAGAACGAAAGCGUGGGUAGCGAAUGGGAUUAAAUACCCCAGUAAUCCACGCCGUAAACGCUGGAUACUAGGUAUUGGGAGUUUCGACCCUCUCAGUACCGUCUGAAAGCUAACGCGUUAAGUAUCCCGCCUGGGGAGUACGGCCGCAAGGCUAAAACUCAAAGGAAUUGACGGGAGCCCGCACAAGCGGUGGAGCAUGUGGUUUAAUUCGACACUAAGCGAGGAACCUUACCAGGGUUAGAAAUCUGGCUGCACGACUCCCGAAAGGGAGUAAGCCUCCGAGGGUGCCAGACAGGUGUUGCAUGGUUGUCGUCAGCUCGUGACGUGAGUUGUUUGGUUAAGUCCUAUAACGAGCGCAACCCCUGUGCUAUGUUAAAUUGCUCAUAGCAUACUGCCUGCGUUAAGCAGGAGGAAGGAAGGGACGACGUCAAAUCAGCAUGGCCCUCGAUACUCUGGGCUACACACGUGCUACAAUGGUUGGGACAAUGGGUUGCGAAGCGGCAACGCGAGCUAAUCCAUCAACCCAAUCUCAGUUCGGAUUGAAGGCUGCACCUGCCUUCAUGAAGCUGGAAUCGCUAGUACCGCGCAUCAG
rnacentral:rRNA from 1 species